UUAUAUUUACCAUAACAAGUAAACUUUUACACCUUAUACUAUGAUAAUUUGACUAUUAUUUCAGCAAUCCACCAACCAGCUGUAGAUUUUUUUUCAAAGAAAUCUUAACCAAAACAAUAAUUACUAUAACGAGCAAUGAAUUAUUCACAUUCAAGUAAGGAAAUUUUUCUCUGAUACUUCCACAUCUUUAGUGAAAGUAAAUCGAACAGAAAUACACAUAGAUAUAUAAUAAAUACUCCGAAAAUAGGUUACAGUUAAUGACUAGGGAGUCAUACGAAAUAUAAAAAUAUGGAACCAAUAUUACUGAUUCAUGGUGGAGCUGGGGAUAUACCUGAUUCCAGGGUAAAUCCUAAACAUGCUGGCAUCAAAAAUUCAGUAACAGCUGGAUUUAAGAUACUGAAAGAUGGAGGUACCGCACUGGAUGCUGUGGAAGAAGCUGUUAGGGUUAUGGAACUAAAUGAAGCAUUCAAUUGUGGUAAUUUUUUGCUAGUAUAAAACUUGUACAUACGUAUACAGGGUGUUCCUUAAUGACUUGCUAAUAUUUAAGGACCAUAUUUAAGAGAAAAGACUAGCAUGUCAUCAAGGAACACCCUGUAUGUAAAUCAAUACCAAAUAAACUUUUUUCAUAUAAUUUUUACUUAUUA